ACCUCCAGUUAACAUCUAACUAUCUACACUUCAACUGACGGUGUAGCUUCUUAUAGAGCAGCCAACAGGAUCCGAGAAGGUCACACUCUGCAGAGACACUCCCACAUGCAGCUCUUCAUAUCUCUGGAAGCACAGCGACAGACACGUAUGACACUCUCAGUUUUAGAACAUGGACAUCAUCAAACACGGACGCCUCAGCUUUUUAAUAUCACUACUCUGGAUACAAGGUCUAAUUAAUGGGAGUGAUGUCACUCAGACGGACAUACUGUGGAAGAACAAGGCCGACAGUGCAACAAUGAACUGCAGCCACACCAAGGGUGCUGGCUACAUCCAGAUGUACUGGUACAGACAGCUGCCAGGAGAAACAAUGAAACAAAUCGUGUUCACAACAAUGGGAAACAACAAGCAUGAUUUUGGAGUUUUCAGCAAAGAGAAAUUCUCAGCCACCAAGCCUGACGCUGAGAGUGGGACAUUCACAGUGAAGAACCUGGAGCCUGGAGAUAAAGGCUUGUAUUUCUGUGCUGUGAGUCAACACAGUGAUACAGACCCAUUCAACAGCUGAACAAAAACCCCAGUGCACUGUUGGCUCUAUUAGUGAGUUAUAUGCUGAACUGUAGAGGGACCUCAAGGACCACAAACACUCAGUUAUACUUUUGAUCAAAAGCCACACAAUAUAUGACACUCCCACCUGCAACGUUACAGCUCUCUAACUACACUGACAGUUAUAUUAGACCUGUUGCAAUCACUGAAUUGCAGAACAUGGACAUAAAACCAGG